AUAUCCUUUUCCUUGUGGCUUGUAUGACACAUGUUUGACGCCAGGAUCCUUGCUGUGUACGUUGGUUCCAUAAACAUAAUACAGGUUUUUCUGAAAUUUCUUCAUUUAACCGAAUAUGACGAUGUCUUAUGGUACCAUGGCCCAAGUCCAAUAAGGAGGGUGAAUGCAUUGGCAAUAUCUAGAAUGAUUUUAAUUCAUCAUUUACUUUCAAGGUUACAAGUUCUCCGAAGAGAUUUUGAAAGAGAUAAACGAAAUGAGAAUAUCACUCUUACGACUGGACAUGCAAAGUUUCUGAGUUAUCUAAAUUAAAAUUUUGCUUCAAAUUAAACUAUGAUAUGAAGAAAUAUAUUAUGAAAACAACAA